rnacentral:rRNA from 1 species
GAUGAACGCUGGCGGCGUGCCUAAUACAUGCAAGUCGAGCGACCGGACGAGAUGCUUGUUUCUCUGAUGUUAGCGGCGGACGGGUGAGUAACACGUGGGUAACCUACCUAUUAGCCUGGGACAACCGCGGGAAACGGCGGCUAAUACCGGAUAAUAUUUUGAACCGCAUGGUUCAAUAGUGAAAGACGCGCUUGCUGCCACUUAUCGCUGGAUCCGCGCUGCUUUAGCUAGUUGGUAGGGUCACGGCUUACCAAGGCAACGUUGCAUAGCAGACCGGAGAGGGAGAUCGGCCACACUGGAACGGAGAGACGGUCCAGACACCUACGGAAGGCAGCAGGAGGGAAGCUACCGCAAUGAGCGAAAGCCUGACGGAGCAACCCCGCGUGAGUGAUGAAAGGCGGCGGUUCGUAAAAUGAUGUGCUUAGGGAAGAACGCAAGAAGAGGUAACUGUGCAUACGAUGACGGUACCAGGCCAGAAAGCCACGGCUAACUACGUG